rnacentral:rRNA from 1 species
AUGGUUAGGUUGCUUCGCACCAACGACGACGGAUGGUACUAUGCAGAGGUGGUAUUAGAACACAACCACGAGUUGGCAGACAAUGUCGGUGAAAGAAAGUUAUGGAAGUGCCACAAGUACGUCGACGCAUCUAUGAAGGACAUUGUUAGGCACUUGCGUUCUAACAAUGUUUCACUGACCAAGGUAUAUGGGGUGAUGGCCGACAUUCAUGGUUCACACAAUGAUGUCCCAUUCCGUAAAAGGUCUCUCAAAUCCAUGUGUGCGUCCAUAGCUCAAGAAUGUAGUCAGGAUGAUAUCAACAAGACACUGGCUUUAUUCACAAGCAUGCAGGCAGAGGGCACUGGAUUCUUUUUCGCAGUAAAAAAAGAUGAGCAAAGAAGGGUGUCUGGUCUGUUUUGGUGUCACCAAAAGAGCAGGGCCGACUACAGUUUCUUCGGAGACGCCAUGACAUUCGACACAACUUACAAGAGCAACCUCUAUGAGAUGCCAGUUGGUCUAUUCGUCGGAGUCAAUAACCACUAUCAAUGCUGCCUGUUUGGUUGUGUUUUCCUGCGUGAAGAGACUGUAGAGUGAUUCAAGUGGGCAUUUGAAACAUUCCUAUCAGCAAUGGGCAACAAACCACCAAAAACAAUAUUAACUGACCAAAGCAAGCAAAUGGAGCUUGCUAUUGCUGACGAGAUGAACUCAUCCAAACAUGUUUGGUGCAAAUGGCAUGUUUUAAAAAAGAUGAGGGAGAAAGUAGGGAGCAUGUACAGGAAUGGCACUCCUUUUAGGAAUGAUUUCAACAUUCUAAUAAAUGAGAUGAUGACAGUUGAAGAGUUUGAAAAGGAAUGGCAGGAGAUCAUGACACAUUAUGGACUUGAAACAAACUCAUUUUUGCAUCAGGUUUAUGAUUGUCGUUUCAAAUGGGCCAAGCCUUAUCUCAAGGGAGACUUCUGUGCAAAAAUGUGUAGCACACAAAGAAGCGAGUGCAUGAACAACCUGCUCAAGUGUUAUGUCUCCAGGUCGGCACCAAUAAACAUAUUUUUUCAACAGUACACAAAGAUGCUUGCCGACAGAUGUGAAGAGGAAGACUUUGAAAUCGCUCACUCAAAGAAGCAAAUCCCAGCUAGGUACAUUCUGAAGAGAUGGACCAAAGACGCUAGAGAUAAUAUGCCAGAUCACCUAAAGUGUUAUCAGAAAGAUGCGAGCAUCUAGGUGUCGAAGACUUUCAUGCACAACAUAAUGUACAUCAAGGCAUUGGAG